UACGUAGGUGGCGAGCGUUGUCCGGAUUUAUUGGGCGUAAAGCGAGCGCAGGUGGUUUAUUAAGUCUGGUGUAAAAGGCAGUGGCUCAACCAUUGUAUGCAUUGGAAACUGGUAGACUUGAGUGCAGGAGAGGAGAGUGGAAUUCCAUGUGUAGCGGUGAAAUGCGUAGAUGUAUGGAGGAACACCGGUGGCGAAAGCGGCUCUCUGGCCUGUAACUGACACUGAGGCUCGAAAGCGUGGGGAGCAAACAGG
rnacentral:rRNA from 1 species